GAUGAACGCUAGCGGCAGGCUUAAUACAUGCAAGUCGAGGGGCAGCACGGUUAGCAAUAACUGGUGGCGACCGGCGCACGGGUGCGUAACACGUAUACAAUCUACCUUAAACAGGGGGAUAGCCUUUCGAAAGAGAGAUUAAUACCCCGUAGUAAAUUGAACGGCAUCGUUUGAUUUUGAAAGCUCCGGCGGUUUGAGAUGAGUAUGCGUCUGAUUAGCUAGUUGGUGAGGUAACGGCUCACCAAGGCGACGAUCAGUAGGGGAUCUGAGAGGACUAACCCCCACACUGGUACUGAGACACGGACCAGACUCCUACGGGAGGCAGCAGUAAGGAAUAUUGGUCAAUGGAGGCAACUCUGGACCAGCCAUGCCGCGUGCAGGAUGACGGCCCUAUGGGUUGUAAACUGCUUUUAUACAAGAGAAAACCCUGGUACGUGUACCAGGUUGAUAGUAUUGUAAGAAUAAGCAUCGGCUAACUUCGUGCCAGCAGCCGCGGUAAU
rnacentral:rRNA from 1 species